GUGUGCGUGUGGCAGGGUGUGUGAAUGUGUGCGUGUGGAAGGGUGUGUGAAUGUGUGUGUGGCAGGGUGUGUGUAUGUGUGUGUGUGGCAGGGUGUGUAUGUGUGUGUGGCAGGGUGUGUGGCAGGGUGUGUGUGUGUGUGUGGCAGGGUGUGUGUAUGUGUGUGUGUGGCAGAGUGUGUGUGUGUGUGUGGCAGGGUGUGUGAAUGUGUGUGUGUGGCAGGGUGUGUGUAUGUGUGUGUGUGGCAGAGUGUGUGUAUGUGUGUGUGGCAGGGUGUGUGUACGUGUGUGGCAGGGUGUGUGUAUGUGUGUGUGGCAGGGUGUGUGUACGUGUGUGGCAGGGUGUGUGUAUGUGUGUGUGUGGCAGGGUGUGUGUAUGUGUGUGUGUGGCAGAGUGUGUGUGUGCGUGGCAGGGUGUGUGUAUGUGUGUGUGUGGCAGAGUGUGUGUAUGUGUGUGUGGCAGGGUGUGUGUAUGUGUGUGUGUGGCAGAGUGUGUGUGUGUGUGUGGCAGGGUGUGUGUACGUGUGUGUGUGGCAGGGUGUGUAUGUGUGUGUGGCAGGGUGUGGCAUGUGUGGUAGUGUGUGUGUGUGUGGCAGGGUGUGUAUGCGUGUGUGUGGCAUGUGGUGUGUGUAUGUGUGUGUGGCAGGGUGUGUGUAUGUGUGUGUGGCAGGGUGUGUGUAUGUGUGUGGCAGGGUGUGUGUAUGUGUGUGUGGCAGGGUGUGUGUAUGUGUGUGUGGCAGGGUGUGUGUGUGUGUGUGGCAGGGUGUGUGUAUGUGUGUGUGGCAGGGUGUGUGUAUGCGUGUGUGGCAGGGUGUGUGUAUGUGUGUGUGGCAGGGUGUGUGUAUGUGUGUGUGGCAGGGUGUGUGUAUGUGUGUGUGUGUGGCAGGGUGUGUGUAUGUGUGUGUGUGGCAGGGUGUGUGUAUGUGUGGCAGAGUGUGUGUAUGUGUGUGUGGCAGGGUGUGUGUAUGUGUGUGUGUGGCAGGGUGUGUAUGUGUGUGUGUGGCAGAGUGUGUGUAUGUGUGUGUGGCAGGGUGUGUGUAUGUGUGUGUGUGGCAGGGUGUGUAUGUGUGUGUGGCAGGGUGUGUGUAUGUGUGUGUGUGGCAGGGUGUGUGUAUGUGUGUGUGUGGCAGGGUGUGUGUAUGUGUGGCAGAGUGUGUGUAUGUGUGUGUGGCAGGGUGUGUGUAUGUGUGUGUGUGUGGCAGGGUGUGUAUGUGUGUGUGGCAGGGUGUGUAUGCGUGUGUGUGGCAGGGUGUGUGUAUGUGUGUAUGUGGCAGGGUGUGUGUAUGUGUGUAUGUGGCAGAGUGUGUGUAUGUGCGUGUGGCAGGGUGUGUGUAUGUGUGUGUGUGGCAGAGUGUGUGUGUGUGUGUG
ensembl:lncRNA